GUGCUCGCUUCGGCAGCACAUAUAUUAAAAUUGGAACGAUACAGGGAAUAUUAGCAUGGCUCCUGCGCAAGGAUGACAUGAAAAAAAAUUUGGCUUGGCCUAAAUAG